AUGCUUUCAAAUAAAUUUUAAUAGCGUAUAAUCCUAAAGUUGGUUUUUGCCAACUAUAGCAAUAAACGAAGCGUGGAAUAAGCGUAGCGGACCCGGGGGCAGUACCCGGCGCCUCCACCACUCCGAUCAAUCUGUCUUCGGGGGCGAACCAGGAUCGACGCGCGUAAUAAAGACGUUUUUUUUGCUCGGUAUGGUACCGCCGUUAUCGGGCUUUUAUAAUAGUUGCAAAUGACAACUAUGCGGAGGCACGCCUCGCUGCUUAAGCAGUCGGGCAAGCCCAACUAAACUCCAUGUGGUUCGCACCACACGGCGGGGUUCGGGGUGCACCUGGCAACAGAAGCGCCUCACU
rnacentral:tmRNA from 2 species